GACGAACGCUGGCGGCGUGCUUAACACAUGCAAGUCGAACGGAAAGGCCCUGCUUUUGUGGGGUGCUCGAGUGGCGAACGGGUGAGUAACACGUGAGUAACCUGCCCUUGACUUUGGGAUAACUUCAGGAAACUGGGGCUAAUACCGGAUAGGAGCUCCUGCUGCAUGGUGGGGGUUGGAAAGUUUCGGCGGUUGGGGAUGGACUCGCGGCUUAUCAGCUUGUUGGUGGGGUAGUGGCUUACCAAGGCUUUGACGGGUAGCCGGCCUGAGAGGGUGACCGGCCACAGUGGGACUGAGAUACGGCCCAGCCUCCUACGGGAGGCAGCAGUGGGGAAUAUUGCACAAUGGGCGGAAGCCUGAUGCAGCAACGCCGCGUGCGGGAUGACGGCCUUCGGGUUGUAAACCGCUUUCGCCUGUGACGAAGCGUGAGUGACGGUAAUGGGUAAAGAAGCACCGGCUAACUACGUG
rnacentral:rRNA from 1 species